rnacentral:rRNA from 1 species
UACAGAGGUCUCAAGCGUUGUUCGGAUUCAUUGGGCGUAAAGGGCGUGUAGGCGGUUUGUUAAGUCAUGUGUGAAAUCCCUCGGCUCAACCGGGGAACGACGCAUGAAACUGGCAAGCUAGAGUACCAAAGAGGGGGGUGGAAUUCCCGGUGUAGCGGUGAAAUGCGCAGAUAUCAGGAGGAACACCGGUGGCGAAGGCGGAUCUCUGGGCCGAUACUGACGCUGGAGGAGCGAAAGCGUGGGGAGCGAACAGG